rnacentral:rRNA from 1 species
UGGGGAAUAUUGCACAAUGGGGGGAACCCUGAUGCAGCGACGCCGCGUGAGCGAAGAAGGUUUUCGAAUCGUAAAGCUCUGUCCUAUGAGAAGAUAAUGACGGUAUCAUAGGAGGAAGCCCCGGCUAAAUACGUGCCAGCAGCCGCGGUAAUACGUAUGGGGCGAGCGUUGUCCGGAAUUAUUGGGCGUAAAGGGUACGUAGGCGGUUUUUUAAGUCAGGUGUGAAAGCGUGAGGCUUAACCUCAUUAAGCACUUGAAACUGGAAGACUUGAGUGAAGGAGAGGAAAGUGGAAUUCCUAGUGUAGCGGUGAAAUGCGUAGAUAUUAGGAAGAACACCGGUGGCGAAGGCGGCCUGCUGGACGAAAACUGACGUUGAGGCUCGAAGGCGUGGGGAGCAAACAGGAUUAGAUACCCUGGUAGUCCACGCGGUAAACGAUGAAUACUAGGUGUUGGUGCCCCAAGGGCAUCGGUGCCGUCGCAAACGCAAUAAGUAUUCCACCUGGGGAGUACGUUCGCAAGAAUG